rnacentral:rRNA from 1 species
GAUGAACGCUGGCGGCGUGCCUAAUACAUGCAAGUCGAGCGAACAGACGAGGAGCUUGCUCCUCUGACGUUAGCGGCGGACGGGUGAGUAACACGUGGAUAACCUAUCUAUAAGACUGGGAUAACUUCGGGAAACCGGAGCUAAUACCGGAUAAUAUAUUGAACCGCAUGGUUCAAUAGUGGAAGACGGUUUUGCUGUCACUUAUAGAUGGAUCCGCGCCGCAUUAGCUAGUUGGUAAGGUAACGGCUUACCAAGGCAACGAUGCGUAGCCGACCUGAGAGGGUGAUCGGCCACACUGGAACUGAGACACGGUCCAGACUCCUACGGGAGGCAGCAGUAGGGAAUCUUCCGCAAUGGGCGAAAGCCUGACGGAGCAACGCCGCGUGAGUGAUGAAGGUCUUCGGAUCGUAAAACUCUGUUAUUAGGGAAGAACAAAUGUGUAAGUAACUAUGCACGUCUUGACGGUACCUAAUCAGAAAGCCACGGCUAACUACGUG